CGCAAGCCUGACGGAGCAAGACCGCGUGCGGGAUGACGGCCUAAUGGUUGUAAACCGCUUUUCUCUGGGAAGAUGAUGACGGUACCAGAGGAAUCAGCCUCGGCUAACUCCGUGCCAGCAGCCGCGGUAAUACGGAGGAGGCAAGCGUUAUCCGGAAUUAUUGGGCGUAAAGCGUCCGUAGGUGGUUAUUCAAGUCUGCUGUCAAAGCGUGGGGCUUAACUCCAUAGAGGCAGUGGAAACCGGAUGACUUGAGUGCGGUAGGGGUCGAGGGAAUUCCCGGUGUAGCGGUGAAAUGCGUAGAUAUUGGGAAGAACACCAGUGGCGAAAGCGCUCGACUGGGCCUGCACUGACACUGAGGGACGAAAGCUAGGGGAGCG
rnacentral:rRNA from 1 species